rnacentral:rRNA from 1 species
ACUCAAAGGAAUAGACGGGGGCCCGCACAAGCGGAGGAACAUGUGGUUUAAUUCGAUGAUACGCGAGGAACCUUACCUGGGUUUGAACGUAAGAUGACAGGGCCGGAAACGGUUUUUCCCUUCGGGGCAUUUUACGAGGUGCUGCAUGGUUGUCGUCAGCUCGUGCCGUGAGGUGUCGGAUUAAGUUCCAUAACGAGCGCAACCCUUAUCGUUAGUUGCCAUCGGGUCAAGCUGGGGACUCUAACGAAACUGCCGGUGUAAACCGUGAGGAAGGUGGGGAUGACGUCAAAUCAGCACGGCCCUUACAUCCAGGGCUACACACGUGUUACAAUGGCCAUUACAAAGGGCAGCUACUUCGCGAGAAGAUGCUAAUCUCUAAAGAUGGUCUCAGUUCGGAUUGAAGUCUGUAACCCGACUUCAUGAAGCUGGAUUCGCUAGUAAUCGCGCAUCAGCCAUGGCGCGGUGAAUACGUUCCCGGGCCUUGUACACACCGCCCGU